rnacentral:rRNA from 1 species
AUUGAACGCUGGCGGCAGGCCUAACACAUGCAAGUCGAACGAGUGGCGGACGGGUGAGUAAUGUCUGGGAAACUGCCUGAUGGAGGGGGAAAACCACUGGAAACGGUAGCUAACACCGCAUACCAACGGAUGUGCCCAGAUGGGAUUAGCGAGUAGGGGGGGUAAAGGCUCACCUAGGCGACGAUCCCUAGCUGGUCUGAGAGGAUGACCAGCCACACUGGAACUGAGACACGGUCCAGACUCCUACGGGAGGCAGCAGUGGGGAAUAUUGCACAAUGGGCGCAAGCCUGAUGCAGCCAUGCCGCGUGUGUGAAGAAGGCCUUCGGGUUGUAAAGUACUUUCAGCGGGGAGGCGUUACCCGCAGAAGAAGCACCGGCUAACUCCGUGCCAGCAGCCGCGGUAAUUC